rnacentral:rRNA from 1 species
AUUUCUUACGGGGGGCAGCAGCGAGGAAUAUUGGUCAAUGGGCGAGAGCCUGAACCAGCCAAGUCGCGUGAAGGAUGACGGCCCUACGGGUUGUAAACUUCUUUUGUCAGGGAGCAAUUGAGUCCACGUGUGGGCUUAGCGAGAGUACCUGAAGAAAAAGCAUCGGCUAACUCCGCGCCAGCAGCCGCGGUAAUACGGAGGAUGCGAGCGUUAUCCGGAUUUAUUGGGUUUAAAGGGUGCGUAGGCGGAAUACCAAGUCAGCGGUAAAAAUUCGGGGCUCAACCCCGUCGUGCCGUUGAAACUGA